rnacentral:rRNA from 1 species
AUGGCGGCGGAGGAGAAGCAAGAGAUGGGAGCGGGAGCGGGAGCGGCGGUGGGAGAGAAGGGUCCGGCGACUGCGUACAGGGCGAUGGGGAAGACGGGGCCGACGGAGGAGGAGAAGGGAGACGCGGCCGCGGACAAGGGGAAGGGGUCGACGGCGGAGAAGGAAGAGAAGGGAGCGACGGCCGGGAAUGAGGAAGAUGGGGAGGAAGAGGAGGAGGAGGAGAGAGCCACGGCGGAGCGAAAGGGAGAAAAUCGGUUGGCAUCGGCGAAGAGGGGGCAUAAGAAGAAGGCGGAAGCAGAGGAGACGGAAGGGAUGUUCACAUGGUUCUCUGAAAUUGCAUUAUCUGAGAAGGGGACGGCGGCGGCGGAGAGGGAAAGCAGGGAGCGACGACGGUUUAGGAGUACGAAGGGACAAAGGCCGGAGGAGAAGGGAGCGAUGGAAGAGGUGGCCGGCAAAAAAGAGAUCUUUUUCUUCAAGGCCAGUGCUGUCAUCACCUUGGAGAGCUCGGAUGGGAUGCUGUUCACGGUGUCAGAGGAGGCGGCACGGCUGUCCGUUCCCCUCGCCGACAUGAUCGACCAGGGCUGCGGCGGAGGCAUCAUCCAGAUACCCAACGUGGACGCCAGGGCCCUCGCCACGGUGAUCAAGUACUGCAAUAAGCACGCCGACGCCGCCUCUGCCAACCCCGAGGCAUCCGAGGAGGCGCUGAAGGAGUGGGACCGCAAGCUCGUCCAUGGCCUCAGCCAGGACGCCCUCUGCGACGUCGUCAUCGCCGCUCAGUUCCUCCACAUCAAGGGGCUCCUCGACGCUGCCUGCCAGAAGGUCGCCGUCGAGGACAUGGUCAAUUGCAAGACCCGCGGGCAGAUGCACCAGAUAGAGAGGGAAGACAUGUGCACAUGGUUCUCUGGACUUACAUUUUCUGAGAAGGGGACGGCGGCAGCGGAUGGGGCAAGGGAGCGACGACGGUUUAAGAGAACCAAGUGUCAACGGCCGGAGAAGAAGGGAGCGAUGGCAGAGGAGACAGAGCAGGUUGCUGGCGAAAACAACACAUUUUUCUUCAGGGCCAGCGGAAAAAUCAUCACCUUAAUGAGCUCGGAUGGGAUGCUGUUCAAGGUGUCGGAGGCGGCUGCACGGCUGUCCGUGCUCCUCGCCGACAUGAUCGACGAGGGUUGCGCCGGAGGCAUCAUCCCGCUACCCAACGUGGACGCCAGGGCCCUCGCCAUGGUGAUCGAGUACUGCAACAAGCACGCCGACGCCGCCUUUGCCAACAGCCGCGUCGAUGAGGGCAGCAGCAGCAGCAACUCCGAGGCAUCCGAGGAGGCGCUGAUGGAGUGGGACCGCAAGCUCGUCGACGGCCUCAGCCAGGACGCCCUCUACGACCUCAUGAUGGCCGCCAACUUCCUCCACAUCAAGGGGCUCCUCGACGCUGCCUGCCAGAAGGUCGCCGACAAUGUCAAGGGGUACAGCGUGGAGCAGAUGCGCGAGAUGUUCGGCAUCGCCAACGACUUCACCGAGGAGGAGGAGGAGGAACUGCGUAAAGAGAGUCCAUGGGCCUUCGAAGAGUAG